UGAUAUUUUUUCCAGUUAUAAAAAAGUUAAAAUUAUAAAUUUCAUAUUAUGUUCUAAAUAAAGUAGAAAUGACAUUCUACGAAGUAGAAAACGAAAUCCACUUUUUUCAUUGAAUCUACAAUGUUUAGAAUACGUGAUCUACGUAAAUAGGAGUAUUCUAAAAAUAUUUAGAAUACACAUUCUGCGCUUAAUCUAUCGUUCUAAAAUCUUUAGAAAUCAAAAUCUACACAUUAAUAUAAAUCUAAAACACGUAGAAAUCGACUUCUACAGAUUUACUAUAAAUCUAAAACAUGUAGAAAUCAAAAUCUAAAUAUUACUAUAAUUCUAAAAAACUUUAGAAACCGAUUUCUACAUAUUAGUUGUAUUCUACGGAUAAGAAAUCAGUUCCUAAAAAUAUGGAAACAAAAUAUUUGGGAAUAUUCACUUUUAUAUUUUGAAAAAAAAAAUCAAUUUUAAAAAAAAAAUAAAAAAACGAAAAAGGAACAAAAAAAUAAAAAAAAAUAAAAAAGGAAUAAAAAAUUACAAUUUUAAGCACAUU
rnacentral:lncRNA from 1 species